ACGAACGCUGGCGGCGUGCUUAACACCUGCAAGUCGAGCGGAAAGGCCCUUCGGGGUACUCGAGCGGCGAACGGGUGAGUCACACGUGAGUAACCUGCCCCAGACUUUGGGAUAACCCUCGGAAACGGGGGCUAAUACCGGAUACGACACAGCUUCGCAUGGGGUCUGUGUGGAAAGUUUUUCGGUUUGGGAUGGGCUCGCGGCCUAUCAGCUUGUUGGUGGGGUGAUGGCCUACCAAGGCGACGACGGGUAGCCGGCCUGAGAGGGCGACCGGCCACACUGGGACUGAGACACGGCCCAGACUCCUACGGGAGGCAGCAGUGGGGAAUAUUGCACAAUGGGCGGAAGCCUGAUGCAGCGACGCCGCGUGAGGGAUGACGGCCUUCGGGUUGUAAACCUCUUUCAGCAGGGACGAAGCGUAAGUGACGGUACCUGCAGAAGAAGCGCCGGCCAACUACGUG
rnacentral:rRNA from 1 species